CUGCACUGGGAGAUGGGGACCCCAGGUCCCCUGUCACAGGACUCACACUGGGGGAUCUCCCUCGUUUGCCCCCUGUCAUGGGACUCACUGGUGGAAUUGGCGCUGCUUGUUUCCUCUCCCUUCCCAGGCUGUCAUAUGACCUCUCAUAAUGCUCAGUAUUUCAUUGUCUUUCUUCUAGUCUGGUAUUCAAGAGGGUUUACCAGGUUGCUUUUUUGGGCAAAAUUCUUUCCACAGUCUGUGAACUAGACAAGUUUGCUACCAGAAUCCUGUGAUUGCAUCAGCACAUGACCAUAGUACUCACCAUUUUUAUCAAAAAAGAAAAAAAUGGAGUUUAGAAAGGAGUCCCAACUUGUCCUGUCCAGUGAAUCUUUGAGGGCAUUAGCAUCAUCCUUCCACCCUGGCAGUAAAGAGCUGAAUGUCACAGAAAACCAACUCUCUUCGAGCUGCCUGGAAACUUGUGUCACAGGGUGAACCCUGCCUCCACAACUGGGGAGACCAGUGGCAGACAGAUUUCCUCCCACUGGAGCAGAAGCCCAUGCUAGAGGCCCUCCAGAGCCAGAGUUUAGUAACAGAACCUGAGCCAUAUUUUAGCAGGGCCUGACCCACCUGGAGGAAAAGAGAUGCCCAAUUCCAUGCGCUUCUAGCAAUCCAUUCCUACCCAAGGGGCUGGGAGGCCUGAGAAGCACUUGUGAGGUUCGUAGCCCAAGGACACUGACUCAGACUUUGUCAUAAGCCUAAAAAACAGUACCCUCCUCAGCAUGUUACCACUGCAUUACUAACAUCCUAUUUACAGCAGUUUUUACCCAACCCAUCAUGUCCACUCUUCGAUACAAAACAGCAAGGCAUCCCAAAAGGAAAAAGGUGCAGAUUGAGGAGGCUGAGCCACCAUCAGAACCAGUCAGACAUGGUGGGUAUGUGGAAAUUAUCUGGUCGAUACUUCUUAAAAACUACAAUGAAUAUGCGAAUGGCUUUUACACUGAAGUGUAUGACACACAAGAACAUACAAGUACUAUAAGCAGGAACAGGAACAUUCUAAGACCAGAAGCACUGUUAAUAGAACUGAAGAGAACCGCUGGUAGGCUUAUCAGACUGGAAAAGCAUCUGGAAGCUUGAGGACAACAAGGAUUUCCAGAAUAAAAAAGAAAAUAGAUUUGAAAUUAGAAUGGAACACUCAACUGUGGGAUGACUACAAUAUUGUAACAAAUAUAAUGAGGUACCAAAAGGAGAAGAAACAGAAAAAAAAAACUUUUUUUUUUUGGUACCAGGGAUCGAACUCAGGACCUUGGCUUUUGAGGCAGCACCACUGAGCUAAAUCCCCGCCCCAAGAAGAAAUAUUUGAGGUGAUAAUGACUGAGUUUCCUCAAGUAAUGUCAAAAACAAAACCACAGAUCCAAGACUCUCAGAACAGUAAGCAAGAUAAAUGCCAAAACUACUCCUGUGCACAGCAUAUUCAAAAACAAAAUAAAGGAAAAAUCAAAUGUAAAAAAAUCUUAAAGCCAGAAUAAAAGACUCCUUUACUUAUAGAGCAGCAAAUAUAAGAACAUCUGGCUUCUGAGAAACAAUAUAAGCAAGGAGAGCAGAAAACCCACCAGCCUAGAAUUCUGUCAUGAAAUUAUCCUUCAAACAAGUGGGACAAAUAAAGAUUUCCUCAGACAAGCAGACAUUGAGAGUUGUGAGAUUUGCCUUGCUAGAAAUCCUAGAAGCUAUUCAGAAAGAAGGAACAGGAUUUGCAUAAUGAAAAGGAGCAUUUCAGAGAAGGAAAAAGGAGGUGAAAUAUAAACUUCUUAAAUAUUUUAAAUUAAUCUUAUAGAGUUUAUUAAAAAUGAAGUAAUGUCAUCUAUUUUCUGUUUGUAAAGCAAAUGACAGUAAUGAAGCCAGACACAGAAGGGUGGACUUAGAUUCGUUUGUCAUUAUAAAGCACUUGAAUUACUCAUAAGGUAAGACAGGGUUUCUUGGAAAUAGACUAGGGUUAGCUGUGAAAGUCUGUUGCAAACUCCAGGGCAAGCGUUAGAAAAUUAAAAUAAGCCUAACUGAUGUGCUAGGAGAAGCACAUGGGAUCUUAAAUUGCUCAGAUAAAAUCACAAAAAGCUAAGAGCGAAAGAUUAAAGACAAGGGAAACAGUUAAACAGCGACAAAUAUGAUGAUAUUGACUCGUCUUUACCAAGAGUCACUUUCAGUCUCUGUGACCUAAAUGCAUCAAUCAAAAGACUGUCAGAGUGGGCAGAAAAAAAAAGAGCAACCUACAUGUUCCCCACAAGAAACCCAUUUUAAAUACAAGGUAUUGAAAUAUACAACAAAUAGUUAAAUUUUUAAAAUAUGUAUUGCACUGAAAGAC
ensembl:lncRNA